GAAAGGGGGCCCGCCGAUAAGGGACUAGUUUUGUCAUUUUCUCCAAGUACACCAAUAAACUAAUGACGUUCUUCUCCGAUUUGGAAGAAUCGGAAGCUGCCGGUCGCCGAUAAUCAGUGGAUUUUCACCUAUUUGAGGGUGUACUUUGAGGAAGGUGAAUGCUCAAAUUCGUCAUUCUUUUUUGUGGAAAAAUACAUCUCGAGAUGAUGGAAAUUGAAAUUGCGUCCCUUUACCACUACGUAUAAGCUGGUCAAGCUGAUUUUGAGUUGUUUUCGGUACAACUUUUAGCUUGAAUAUUCUGAGUGUCCUCCUUUCUCUCGACUGAGUAGCUUUUACUCUACAAGAAAUUCAUCUGCUAGAGUAGUUCUGCAAAAGAAAAGCAAUCAAAAUAAUGGAUGAUCGGGUUGUUCUUGACAAGGGUGGAACAAGGAAGUUGCCUCAGUGGAUGUUUGCUA
rnacentral:misc_RNA from 1 species